rnacentral:tRNA from 3 species
UCCCCAGUAGCUCAGUUGGUAGAGCAGCUGACUGUUAAUCAGCCUGUCGGUGGUUCGAGUCCGCCCUGGGGAGCCA